GUCGAGCGGACAGAUGGGAGCUUGCUCCCUGAUGUUAGCGGCGGACGGGUGAGUAACACGUGGGUAACCUGCCUGUAAGACUGGGAUAACUCCGGGAAACCGGGGCUAAUACCGGAUGCUUGUUUGAACCGCAUGGUUCAAACAUAAAAGGUGGCUUCGGCUACCACUUACAGAUGGACCCGCGGCGCAUUAGCUAGUUGGUGAGGUAACGGCUCACCAAGGCAACGAUGCGUAGCCGACCUGAGAGGGUGAUCGGCCACACUGGGACUGAGACACGGCCCAGACUCCUACGGGAGGCAGCAGUAGGGAAUCUUCCGCAAUGGACGAAAGUCUGACGGAGCAACGCCGCGUGAGUGAUGAAGGUUUUCGGAUCGUAAAGCUCUGUUGUUAGGGAAGAACAAGUACCGUUCGAAUAGGGCGGUACCUUGACGGUACCUAACCAGAAAGCCACGGCUAACUACGUGCCAGCAGCCGCGGUAAUACGUAGGUGGCAAGCGUUGUCCGGAAUUAUUGGGCGUAAAGGGCUCGCAGGCGGUUUCUUAAGUCUGAUGUGAAAGCCCCCGGCUCAACCGGGGAGGGUCAUUGGAAAC
rnacentral:rRNA from 2 species